GCAGCCGCCACGGUAAUGCGUAGGGUGCGAGCGUUAAUCGGAAUUACUGGGCGUAAAGCGUGCGCAGGCGGCUUUGCAAGACAGAUGUGAAAUCCCCGGGCUCAACCUGGGAACUGCAUUUGUGACUGCAAGGCUAGAGUGCGGCGGAGGGAGAUGGAAUUCCGCGUGUAGCAGUGAGAUGCGUAGAUAUGCGGAGGAACACCGAUGGCGAAGGCAAUCUCCUGGGCCUGCACUGACGCUCAUGCACGAAAGCGUGGGGAGCAAACAGGAUUAGAUACCCGUGUAGUCCCUGUCUCUUAUAA
rnacentral:rRNA from 1 species